UACGGGGGGGGCAAGCGUUGUUCGGAAUUACUGGGCGUAAAGGGCUCGUAGGCGGCUCGGAAAGUCGGGCGUGAAAUGCCGGGGCUCAACCCCGGGACUGCGUCCGAUACUUCCGAGCUGGAGGUAGGUAGGGGAGAUCGGAAUUCCUGGUGUAGCGGUGAAAUGCGCAGAUAUCAGGAGGAACACCGGUGGCGAAGGCGGAUCUCUGGGCCUUACCUGACGCUGAGGCGCGAAAGCUAGGGGAGCGAACAGG
rnacentral:rRNA from 1 species